rnacentral:rRNA from 1 species
UACGUAGGAGACGAGCGUUGUCCGGAGUUACUGGGCGUAAAGCGUGCGCAGGCGGUUGUGCAAGACAGAUGUGAAAUCCCCGGGCUCAACCUGGGAAUUGCAUUUGUGACUGCACGGCUAGAGUGUGUCAGAGGGGGGUAGAAUUCCACGUGUAGCAGUGAAAUGCGCAGAGAUGUGGAGGAAUACCGAUGGCGAAGGCAGCCCCCUGGGAUAACACUGACGCUCAUGCACGAAAGCGUGGGGAGCAAACAGG